GAUGAACGCUGGCGGCGUGCCUAAUACAUGCAAGUCGAGCGAACAGAUGAGGAGCUUGCUCCUCUGACGUUAGCGGCGGACGGGUGAGUAACACGUGGAUAACCUACCUAUAAGACUGGGAUAACUUCGGGAAACCGGAGCUAAUACCGGAUAAUAUAUUGAACCGCAUGGUUCAAUAGUGAAAGUCGGUUUUGCUGUCACUUAUAGAUGGAUCCGCGCCGCAUUAGCUAGUUGGUAAGGUAACGGCUUACCAAGGCAACGAUGCGUAGCCGACCUGAGAGGGGGAUCGGCCACACUGGAACUGAGACACGGUCCAUACUCCUACGGGAGGCAGCAGUAGGGUAUCUUCCGCAAUGGGCGAAAGCCUGACGGAGCGACGCCGCGUGAGUGAUAGAGGUCUUCGGAUCGUAAAACUCUGUUAUUAGGGAAGAACAAAUGUGUAAGGAACUAUGCACGUCUUGACGGUACCUAAUCAGAAAGCCACGGCUAACUACGUG
rnacentral:rRNA from 1 species